rnacentral:rRNA from 1 species
UACGUAGGGGGCGAGCGUUACCCGGAAUCACUGGGCGUAAAGGGUGCGUAGGCGGCCGCGUGUGUCUGGCGUAAAAUACCACGGCUCAACCGUGGGAAUGCGCUGGAAACUACGUGGCUUGGGUGCGGCAGAGGCAGACGGAACUGCUGGUGUAGGGGUGAAAUCCGUAGAUAUCAGCAGGAACGCCGGUGGAGAAGUCGGUCUGCUGGGCCGUAACCGACGCUGAGGCACGAAAGCUAGGGGAGCGAACCGG